rnacentral:tRNA from 2 species
GGCCUUGUAUUCAUUUUGUGAUUGCAGAAUGCAAUUCUGCAGGGGUGAGUUAGGGCUUACCAAGGCCU